ensembl:miRNA
CAGGUUUGACAGGAUGUCUGGUGUUGAUUGUCCAAACGCAAUUCUUGUGUGAUUUCUCCAUAUUCAGGAGUUGUGGAUGGACAUCAUGCCCCCGACUCUUAUUGACUUC